rnacentral:other from 1 species
GUCUGGACGCGCUGGGUGGAUGCGGGGGACUCCUGGGAAAAGGGCUGGAGCCGAGCGAGCGCUAGUCGGGCGCAAGCGCGCACAGACCGCAGCCACCCGAGGGCCCCCCCGCCCCCACAGCCCACCCGGAGACCCCAGCGCAGCAUCGCGUCUGCAUCCCCGGCGGUCGGCUCGAGGUAAGGAGCGGGGCUUUG